ensembl:scaRNA
GGCCAUUGAGCAACAAAAACUUUGAAUUGAGGCAUUACAGGUUACUAUUAAAACACAAAAACAAACACAAACAUUAUAUGGUAAGAAUAAUGCAUUGAAGUCAUGUGUAUGGGGUAAUGGAGCAGCUGACAACAUGGGAUUCUGUCAGUGUGUUUCUGAAGAGUCGGCAGUGCACAGCAGACCAGUAUCCAACAAAACCAGCUACACAAGGGCUUGACGAGCGGCAGCCUCGGGGGUGAUGGGGCAUGAUCUCAAGUUUUCAAUCUGAGACC